rnacentral:tRNA from 3 species
GUGCGAUUAGCUCAGCUGGAUAGAGCGUCUGACUACGGAUCAGAAGGCCGGGAGUUCGAAUCUUCUAUCGCACGUCA